UCCAGACUCCUACGGGAGGCAGCAGUGGGGAAUAUUGCACAAUGGGGGAAACCCUGAUGCAGCGACGCCGCGUGAGUGAAGAAGUCAUUCGUGAUGUAAAGCUCUAUCAGCAGGGAAGAAAAUGACGGUACCUGACCAAGAAGCCCCGGCUAACUACGUGCCAGCAGCCGCGGUAAUACGUAGGGGGCAAGCGUUAUCCGGAUUUACUGGGUGUAAAGGGAGCGUAGACGGUUGCGCAAGUCUGGAGUGAAAGGCGGGGGCCCAACCCCCGGACUGCUCUGGAAACUGUGUAACUGGAGUGCAGGAGAGGUAAGUGGAAUUCCUAGUGUAGCGGUGAAAUGCGUAGAUAUUAGGAGGAACACCAGUGGCGAAGGCGGCUUGCUGGACGGUAACUGACGUUGAGGCUCGAAAGCGUGGGGAGCAAACAGGAUUAGAUACCCGAGUACC
rnacentral:rRNA from 1 species